GUAAAAAAAUUUAUGUUUCGUCAAGUUCGAAUUCACGAGAAUCAUUCCAGGUUUGUGGUCCGAAUUCGAAUAUGGAAUAUAUUUGCGUCAUUGGUCAUGACGACACUACAAUUUGGGCAAUCUGGGCAGAUGUAGAAAUCGUUGUGCACACCAAAACUGGAGAAAAGCUAAAUGUCAUUACGGAGAAGAGGUAGUACUAACUUUCGUAUAAUACUCAUUAUAAUAUAGUCAUUCACCGUAUAUGAGCUGUUCUGCAAUCUGAUUGGUUGAAUUACUCGCCGUAUAUCAGCUCAUAUACGGCGAGUAGCGAAAAACAA